UCACACUGCCUCAGCUCCUGCUUUCUCUCUGAAGUGAUUCCAUGUAAGAGAUCCAGCACCUCCCAUCCUGUGUAUCUUUUUUUCUCACUGUCUGAUGGCUCUUGAGCCUGCUAUGCUGCCAUGGGAACCUGCGGGAGACAGUUCUGGCUACAUAACAGCAUAGAGUCAACUUCCCUUCAAGACAGAAGGGAAGGGAUGGAGUCUCACUCUUGUUGGCCAGGCUGGAGUGCAAUGGCGCAAUCUCUGCUCAUUUCAAACUCCGCCUUCUGGGAUGAAGUGAUUCUUCAGCCUCAGCCUCCCGAGUAGCUGGGAUUGCAGGUGCUCGCCACCAGGCCCAGCUAUUUUUUUAUUUUUAGUAGAGAUGGGAUUUCACUAUGUUAGUCAGGCUAGUCUUGAAUUUCUGUCCUCAGGCUAUCCACCUGCCUUGGCCUUCCAAAGUGCUGGGAUUACAGGCGUAAGCCACGGUGCCUGGCCAAGAAGAAUAAAAUUAUUACAACAGCUAGAUUGAUUCAGAAAAAAGACAGAAAUCACAAUUUGUCAGUGUCACAAAUAAAAUAAUGAACACCAAAAUAAAAAUGAGAUAAUAUAAGCAAAUUAUUUCAAUAAAGCAUACA